CCGUCUUGUUCACCUGCACCCAGACACAGGUCCUCGCGUAUGGACACGCUCGUUAGCAGGCGCGUGUACACGCGAAUCUUCGAUCCGAUUAUUCGCACAUGAGAGGAAAGGAAGCUGCGAGAGAACAGACGAGAUCAAACUGUGGUUUAAACCGGUAGUUUCCCGCGUCGUUUACUUCGUGUACGCGUAACGUGACGCCAAACAGUCGGUCGUCGAGAAGAAACCAUUGGACGGCAAGGAACUAUCGAGGAUGUGCGAGCUUACAUCGAAGCCACCUAUUUUCGGCCACUUUUCGGUACCUUUUCGAGAUAAACGAGAGGAAAAACACGGAAAAAUGGCAUAGAAUUUUCAUCGGUAAAAUUAAAACGAACACCUGUGCUAUAUCGGUGAUACUAACAAUGGUACACAAUUGAACAGGGACAUAGUUUUGAAAUUUUUUGUGAAAAGAUAAAUGGAAUACUUAAUAACCGAGACAGGUAUUCAUUAUUUCCUCUCGUUUCUGUAGUUACUUCAGCAUCUCUUCAUCCGCGUUCUUAAACGGCGGAACUAAUCGCUACGUACGAGAUUUCCGUAAAGAGAAAAAAAAUCGAAGAACAAUGCCCAACGGUAAACAAUCAUGGUGGUAUCUAGAAAGGUAGAAGACAGAGAAGUAGGCGGUGCGGUUACGAUCGAUGCAACACGUGCACGUACGAUACAACGGAUGUUGAGAAGAAUUGCGACUACCGUUUCUUCGUUUACGCGUAGGAGAGUCGAUAUCCUUUCCUCCUGUGCGAGAGGAAAAAGAGAAUGAUGGUACCGGUGGUCCUUGACAAUGAACUGGUUUUCGGGUUUUGGCGCCGAACCAGUUGAACGACAAACAAGAAAGGGGAAGCUCCCCGACCAACAGCAGACGAAUAGAUAAAAGGAGCAUAGAAUUUCCACGGAUCCCCCGAAGCGCCAACUUUUAAUGGGGAUAGCGUAUUUAGACACCUGUCAGGGAAUUCUCGACGGAAUGUCGUGGCGGAAGUGAACGCGGCGGAGGAAACACGAGUGCACACAGACGAACGGAAUAUGCGAACGAACAUGGAGAAAUGGGCGAAGAAGACGCGAGGCAUUACAUAAUAGUUGGCAGUUGGCAUAGUUCUCGAGCACGGCGGUCGCUUAUUCACGCAUGAAACUCGCACGGGAGUCACCAGGCGACAAGGCUAAGGGCGCGUUCACACGCUUCCGUUCCAGUACACGUAACUCCGAAACGAACGAGUUUCUCUACAAGGGAAAUGAAUUUCUGCUUGGUGAACUUUCAGCGACGAAAAAUUCAGUCAACCGUAGGCUCGAUAUCUGUCGAUAUUUCAAUUGUACCAUUGUACGAAAUCAUGAAGCGUAACAACAAUUACAGAUAUUAUUUUUGAGGAUGUAUUUUAGCAUGUCAUUUAAUUUGUACGAAAUAACUGGAUUGAAAUAAAAUAAUUACUACACAAGUAUGAAUC